UUGGUUUUGUUCUGACAUGAAUUGAAUCAGAGUGAGCCGAUGUUCUGAGCACAGACGGUCCAAUCCUGACCCAGGUGAGCCUCAGCCCAACAGUCCAAGCAGAGAGGCCUGUAACGCUUCAGUCCAGCUUUGUCCAGCCACUGGUAGGAUUUCUGGAUAUCAGCCACCUCCUCUAUCUGCCGGUGGUACAUACCGUGCAGGGGCCUGUCCUUCCAUGAUGGUUCCUCGUCUCCCUCCUCUUUCUUGGGUUUCUGC
ensembl:lncRNA